rnacentral:lncRNA from 1 species
CUUACGGUUCAUGUGUUUCAAAAACAUAACGAAACAUUUAUUUGCUAAAGGCAGAUAACUCCUAUUACAUUUUACCGAAUCGUUUCGAACAAAAUUAGCCAAAAAAUCCAGUGUGACGAACAAUUAAGAAAUAAAAAUUUUUGUCGACAUCUUUCUUUGUUACGAAUAAGAUGAACACAGAUGAUAAACAGUAAAUAGGGAGAUAAGUCUUACAAAGAUAUAAAAAAGAAAAGAGUCUUGUUCGGCUUAGCAGGGUGAAAUUUAAAAGCGCAUAACUGUAUGAUACUUUAUAAGAAAUGUCUAAGCGAAAUAUUGCGAAACAAAUAUUUAUCGCAAAAUAGAACAAAAUU